GUUAGGAAGGUGGUUCUUUUACGCCUGCUACGUUAGGUUAGGAAGGUUGUUCUUUUACGCCUGCUACGUUAGGUUAGGAAGGUGGUUCUUUUACGCCUGCUACGUUAGGAAGGUGGUUCUUUUACGCCUGCUACGUUAGGUUAGGAAGGUGGUUCUUUUAUGCCUGCUACGUUAGGUUAGGAAGGUGGUUCUUUUACGCCUGCUACGUUAGGUUAGGAAGGUGGUUCUUUUACGCCUGCUACGUUAGGAAGGUGGUUCUUUUACGCCUGCUAAGUUAGGGAGGUGUAGAUGAGCUACGUUGGGGAGGUGUAGAUGAGCUACGUUGGGGAGGUGUAGAUGAGCUACGUUGGGGAGGUGUAGAUGAGCUACGUUGGGGAGGUGUAGAUGAGCUACGUUGGGGAGGUGUAGAUGAGCUACGUUGGGGAGGUGUAAAUGACAGAAUCAGAGACCAGACCACCUUUCAUCUGUUUCUAUAUGAUCAGAUGACCAUACAUGAGGAUGAUGGAUUUCUGCUUAUUGGUUAAGAGGGAGAACAGAUGUUUGAACACACACACACAUAGACACAGCUGCCCUGUCACCUGAGGUUCAGAGCCACACACAGACACAGCUGCCUGGCACCUGAGGUUCAGAGCCACACACAGACACAGCUGCCUGUCACCUGAGGUUCAGAGCCACACACAGACACAGCUGCCUGUCACCUGAGGUUCAGAGCCAGACACAGCUGCCUGUCACCUGAGGUUCAGAGCCACACACAGACACAGCUGCCUGUCACCCGAGGUUCAGAGCCACACACAGACACAGCAGCCCUGGUUCAGAGCCACACCCCCAAUUCAUUCAUGCCUUUCUUAGUUAAUAUUUGGUGUCACCCUCCACCACUUACAGUUAAUUUCCUUCAAAAACAACAAAAAUUAACAGCCGGUCUGUAGUUAUUUCAAAAUGUAUAAUUUCACGAUUGCUGCACAGGUGAAACUGCACAGGUAAAAAAUUGCAAGAGGGUCACCACAGGGAGUAAACAUCAAAUAAGUGGGCUAUACGUUUGCUUUUAUGUCAUCCAUUUAUUGCUGUUUUCUGUAUUCCUGCUCUGUGUGCAGAAUGAAGUGUGCAUGUAGUAGUGUUGUAAAUCUACUGGUCUCUAUUGGUGAAUUAUCAAUGCUGUACAAUGUACAUUUUACUGUUGAACUCACAAAGGUCUGGGCUAAUGCUUUUCCCCACAGGGUGCCAAGACACAAGUAAGCACAACGCAACUGUGAGACAGUUAUUAUGGGACUCUUAUUACAUUUGGCGCAUCCACACGCUCUCUCUCCCUUUGUCUCAAACACACACACACACUCUCUCCCUUUGUCUCAAACACACCCUCUCUCUUUGUCUCAAACACACCCUCUCUCUCUUUCUCUCUGUCUCAAACACUCUGUCUCAAACACUCUCGCUCUCCCUUUGUCUCAAACACACCCUCUCUCUUUGUCUCAAACACACCCUCUCUCUUUGUCUCAAACACACCCUCUCUCUCUUUCUCUCUGUCUCAAACACUCUUUGUCUCAAACACACCCUCUCUCUUUGUCUCAAACACACCCUCUCUCUUUGUCUCAAACACACCCUCUCUCUCUUUCUCUCUGUCUCAAACACUCUGUCUCAAACACUCUCGCUCUCCCUUUGUCUCAAACACACACACUCUCUUCCUUUGUCUCAAACACACUCUCUCCCACUGUCUCAAACACUCUCUCUCUGUCGCCCUUUGUCUCAAAACACACACACAAUCACUCCCCUGGUCUCAAACACACUCUCUCCCCCUGUCUCAAACACUCAGUCCCUCUCUAAAACACACACUCUCUCUCUCUCCCUCUCUUUUUCUCUCUCUCCCCGUCUCAAACGCUCUCUCUCUCUCUGUCUCAAACACUCUUUCUCCCCCCCUUGUCUCAAACACUCUCACGCUGGCACGCACACACUCCUUCUCUCCUCCCUUUGUCUGUCUGUCUGUCUCUCUCUCACACACACGCACAUACACACACCAUCACAAAAAAGGUCACAGAACACAUUUGACAAGGAGUUAUCCCUCCCAACUCAUACUGAAGCACUUUCAUUACUCCAGUGCCAUGUUAAAGUCCUGCCUCUUCCUGUGGGAAUGGGUGAGGGAGAGUUAUGUCCCAUGUCAACACAGCUUAGAGGCCUUCCCAG
ensembl:lncRNA